AUGCCAUGGCCAUUCUCCUAAAGGCAAGGGAAUGAAAACGGGGAGGGAAAGAACCGGUCGCCAGGAAAGGCGCUGGGAGGCUCCAGAAGUCGCGGCAGUUUGUGUGCAGCACUGCCCUCUGCUGGUCGCAGACAGACGGCAGCUGGAUGGCAACAGCGUCCUGGGCUGGGAAAAUUAAGAUGGCGGAUGAGAAAAACCACCAGCCAGAGUGUCUCUGCAAGAAAGGCAGAUUUUAGAAGAAAGUGAAAUAAAUAAACAGGCAGACUAACACAGAUCGGAUCAGGGUCUGAAAGAAGGAUGCCUGAGACUACAGGAGACUCCACAGGAAGAAGUUGCAGAGGAGAAAGCUCCCAAGAGAAGCUUGGAGACCAGCGACAAGGUUCUGGAGUCCAGAAGUCCAAGACCAAGGUGUCGACAUGACCAUGCUCCCCUGAAGGCUCCAGGUAAGGAUCUGCUCCAGGGCUCUCUCCUAGCUUCUGGUAGUUUCUUGGCUUGUGGUAGCGUAAUGCUAAUCUUCACACGGUGUGCUCCCUGUAUGAGACAGUCUAUGUCCAAGUGUCCCUUUUUUAUAAGGACACGGGUCACAUUGGACUAGGGGCCCACCCUAUUCCAGUAUGACCUCAUCUUAACCAAUUACAUCUGCAACAACCCUAUUUCCCAAUAAGGUCAUGUUCUGAGAUACUGGGAGUGAGGACUUCAACAUAUGGAUUUGGGGAAGAUACAAUUGAACCCAUAACAGCCACAGCUGUGCCCUGCACAUUCAAUUCCACCAAAACGGAGAUCUGCUUUGCACAGCCCAUUCCACAGCUUGACACUUAAGUGCUCAGAGGCCACACAUGUGAUAGAACCACCCUGCUGCUGUUCUCCAUGUGCUGAAGAUGAGGCCAGAGACAUGGGCAGGGGCUGAACCAUGCAGGGUGCUGAAGGCCAUGUGAGCAUUUUGUGCUUCAGCAAUGGAGUGUCAUUGAUGUUUACAAACAGGAGAAGGGUGAUCAGAUUCUAGAGAGAUCCUUCUAACUUUAGUCUUGAUAAAUAGAAUGGAGUUGGGACAAGGCUGUUGCAGCUAUUCAAGCAAGAACACAGAGCUUGCCUGAACUUCAACAGUGGCAAUGGGAAUUCGGGGAAGAUGACUUGGAGAAAUAUCUAUGAUUUAUGUAUCAGGGUUUCUAGAGGAAAAGAAUCUAAAGUUUAUGUUAUUUUAGCAAGAGAGCUGCCAUUUGGGGAUUGCUGGCAAAGGGAACUGUCAUUUGGGUUUUUGGACAUGGGCACUGUAAUUAAUUUUGGCACAGAUUUCCUUAUUUUCAAGGAAGUCACCAGGGUAAACUCUCUCAUUGCAACAAAGUAAAGUAUGUUGGUCUUGGAAUAAACAAAUGGUGACAAUGUCGUAAACCCGAGGGUGGCAGCUGCCGACUGAGAUUUUAAAUGGUGAAGCAUUAGAGAAAAGUUUUCCCAAAGUAAAAUACUUAGACUGAAUUAUUGGUAUCCUCCAUGUAUUAGGUUCCUAUUUGCUGCUGCAACAAACUGCCAUAAACUUAGUGGCUUGGAACAACACAAAUGUAGUAUCUUGCAGCACUGUAGAUCAGAAGUCUGAUGUGGUUCUCUCAAGGCUACAGUGGAGAUGCUGGCGGGGCCGCGUGCCUUUCUGGAGGCUGGAAGGCCCCUCUGCCCUUCUGAGGCCACCCACAGUCCUUGGCUCUGGCCCCUCCCUCUGCCUUCGAAGCCAGCCCUGACCCUUCUGCUGCUUCCACUUUUAAGGAUUCUUGUGAUCACACUGGGCUCACCUGGGUCGUCCAGGGUGCUC